GACGAACGCUGGCGGCGCGCUUAACACAUGCAAGUCGAACGGAAAGGCUUGCUUUCCCUUGUGGAUUGCGGGUACUCGAGUGGCGAACGGGUGAGUAACACGUGAGUGAUCUGCCCCCAACUUGGGUAUAAGCCUGGGAAACUGGGUCUAAUUCCCGAUAGGACUGCAGGGUGGUGCCUGUGGUGGAAAACGAUUUUCUAGUGGUUGGGGAUGAGCUCGCGGCCUAUCAGCUUGUUGGUGGGGUAAUGGCCUACCAAGGCGGCGACGGGUAGCCGGCCUGGGAGGGUGGACGGCCACAUUGGGACUGAGAUACGGCCCAGACUCCUACGGGAGGCAGCAGUGGGGAAUAUUGCACAAUGGGCGGAAGCCUGAUGCAGCGACGCCGCGUGGGGGAUGACGGCCUUCGGGUUGUAAACUCCUUUCGACCGCGAGGAAGCCACCUGGUUGGAAGGGUGGUGACGGUAGUGGUAGAAGAAGCACCGGCUAACUACGUG
rnacentral:rRNA from 1 species